rnacentral:rRNA from 1 species
AAGACCUUGCGCUUUUGGAGCGGCCGAUGCCUGAUUAGCUUGUUGGUAAGGUAAAAGCUUACCAAGGCUUCGAUCAGUAGCUGGUCUGAGAGGACGACCAGCCACACUGGGACUGAGACACGGCCCAGACUCCUACGGGAGGCAGCAGUGGGGAAUUUUGGACAAUGGGGGCAACCCUGAUCCAGCCAUGCCGCGUGAGUGAAGAAGGCCUUCGGGUUGUAAAGCUCUUUCAGCCGGAACGAAACGGUUACGGAUAACACCCGUGACUACUGACGGUACGGGAAGAAGAAGCACCGGCUAACUACGUGCCAGCAGCCGCGGUAAUACGUAGGGUGCGAGCGUUAAUCGGAAUUACUGGGCGUAAAGCGUGCGCAGGUGGUUUUGUAAGUCAGAUGUGAAAGCCCCGGGCUCAACCUGGGAACU